CAAAGUUGUGAAUAAAACAAUAAUUAGUAUAUAUUAUUUCAAAGUUUCAUGUUUAAUUCAAUGUGAUUCUUGCUGGUUUUUUUAUAAUUGUUUGUGAAAUUUACUUGCAAUUUCUGAGUGAAAAUUUUUCCAAUAUAGGAACACAUUCAGUUCACAACAAAUGUAACUUUUGAAAUGCCAGUCCUAAACAGGCCAAAAAAAGUGUACUAUAAACACUAAAACAACUGGAAAUUUAGGGUGAGGUGAUAAUACACAUAAUAAAAGAAAGGAAAAAAAGAAAAUCUGUUUUGUUCACUCUUUAUACACACAUCCAAAUUAAUUGAAAAUGUAAAAAUUUUAACACAGAACUGCCGUCUCAUUCCCUGUGCAGUUGAGCCUUUCAUUUCUUAAACAGCACUGCUGCUUGUUUACUUUCAUCUCCUUAGGGGUUAAAUCUCUAAAAACACAUACCAACACAUAUGGUUGUCUGCUCUCUUGAGGCAGAGGGACGACUUGUUUCUUUAAAUCAGGCCUAUAAAUCCUUCUGGUCACUUCCUUCAAUAGGAGUGAAGCUGGGAUGAAGACUGAGUUGCUCUUCAGGGUCAGUGGAGCCAUUCAAGUUAAAAUGGACCUCAACAGCAGGCUGCUCCUCGCAGCUGCCCUGUGACCGUGGAAAUUAAGUUAUGCCCCGUGUCAGCAAGUUUUCUUCUUCUUUCGGAAACCCUUUCUACCUCAAUCGAUCCUCUCAGUGCUCAUUUUUUAAAGUUUCUCCUAUUCGUAUUUAUGAGAGACUCUGAAGUGGAGUCUUAGCUGGAGUAUUUAGUGUUGAUAACAGACAUAAUGGACAACAAUGGGACAGAAUGAGGUAUUGUGUGGUUGUAAGUGAGAAGGCCCAGCAUUCUUGGUCAAUGUUAAGUCAAUGGCCUCUUGUUGAAAAACACACACACACACACACACGCACUGCUUCUUUACCAACAGGUCUGCAGGGCUCAAAUGGAAAACCUCCUCUUUUCCUCGGUUUCCUCCACCCUCUUCAUUCGCUCAGCCUCUGUGUCCUUCCUCCUUCGACAUGCGCUUGUGUUUUGCUUGUCUGUGGGAUAGUUUAUUUGUCCUGUGGUUGGAUGAAGAAGCUGGAUGAUGACUCCUGCUUCUGCGGGUGUAAGCGUGUGUCUGCAACAGCUGCUUGCUGCCAACAAUUCAGAGCGUUACGAAGCGUUAGGACAUGUUUAGGGGCUUCUCCUCCUGCGUCUGCAUGCUUCCCUCCCCUGCGCUGCCUGUCAGAGGGAUUUUAUGGCUGUUGAUACAAAAAAUGGGCUCUGGGCUGCUCUAGUAAAAAACACCUUUCCUUCCAUCACCUCAUUAUCCUCCUGAGUGAAAACAAGCGGCCAAACGUCUCCAUUUGUCAUUAUUCCCUCAAGAGUGAUCAAAGUUCUGCUUUUCCAUUAGCACCAACUGUUACAGCACACAUGAAUUACUUCAUUACUAAUUUACCUGUAUAGUUGUUCAAUAAAUUUCAUGGUAAGAAUAAAGAGUAGUAAAAUAUUAAAACAAUUUGCUCAGCUGUAACAUAUGGACACUGAACUUUUGUCAGUUUAACAGCUAAUACAAAUGUUAUGUGAAUUAACAGAAAUGACUUGCAUGCUUUUAUUGCAGUGCCUAUGUACAGUCAAUUUAAAUAAACACAAUGCUAUCAUGCUUCAUAAUAGCAUUAUUCAUCCAUUAGCUUUAAAGUAGCUAAUAGUUCAAUCAAAAAUUUAGUCAAAAUGUAACCUCGAGUAGUUCCAAACCUAUAAGAAUUUCUUGGUUCUGUUGAACACAAAAGAAGAUAUUUUGAAGAAUGUCGGUGGUUGCUGGUAGCCAUUUUAUUUUUCCUCGAUACUAUGGAAGUCAAUGGCUACCAGCAAAAGUUUGGUUACCAAUAAUCUUCAAAAUAUCUUCUUAGAAGAAAGAAAUUCAAUCAGGUUUGGAACAACAUUAGGAUGAGUAAAUGUUGUCAUUUUUGAGUGAACUCUCUCUUUAAAACUUCAACGCUACAUACAUACCAGCGACCAGCCAAGGCAGAGAUUCACAUUUUUUUUCAGCCUUAGACACUCUUAGUAUUUCCUGGACCCCCUGAUAUUUCAAGUUAUAUAAAAUAAUUAAUAAUUUAACAACACAUUAACAUGUUUAAGGUUCUCCUUUGUCAAAUAAUAGUAAAAAAAUGUUUUUAUUAUUUUAAUACAAUUUAUUGCAAUUUUCAAUUUUAUGAUUUAAUUACCAACUUCUCAUUAAUUGUUGUUAG
ensembl:lncRNA